rnacentral:rRNA from 1 species
UGGCGAACGGGUGAGUAACACGUGGGUGAUCUGCCCUGCACUUCGGGAUAAGCCUGGGAAACUGGGUCUAAUACCGGAUAGGAGCCAUUUUUAGUGUGAUGGUUGGAAAGUUUUUUCGGUGUAGGAUGAGCUCGCGGCCUAUCAGCUUGUUGGUGGGGUAAUGGCCUACCAAGGCGGCGACGGGUAGCCGGCCUGAGAGGGUGAUCGGCCACAUUGGGACUGAGAUACGGCCCAG